UACGGGAGGCAGCAGGGGGAAUAUUGCACAAUGGGCGCAAGCCUGAUGCAGCCAUGCCGCGUGUAUGAAGAAGGCCUUCGGGUUGUAAAGUACUUUCAGUCGUGAGGAAGGUGUUAAGGUUAAUAACCUUAGCAAUUGACGUUAGCGACAGAAGAAGCACCGGUUAACUCCGUGCCAGCAGCCGCGGUAAUACGGAGGGUGCGAGCGUUAAUCGGAAUUACUGGGCGUAAAGGGCACGCAGGCGGUUAAUUAAGUUGGAUGUGAAAUCCCCGGGCUUAACCUGGGAAUGGCAUUCAAGACUGGUUAGCUAGAGUCUUGUAGAGGGGGUAGAAUUCCAUGUGUAGCGGUGAAAUGCGUAGAGAUGUGGAGGAAUACCGGUGGCGAAGGCGGCCCCUGGACAAAGACUGACGCUCAUGUGCGAAAGCGUGGGGAGCAAACGAGGAUUAGAUACC
rnacentral:rRNA from 1 species